GUCCACGCUGUAAACGAUGAGUGCUAGAUGUUGGUGAAGGAAUUCAUCAGUGUCGCAGCUAACGCAUUAAGCACUCCGCCUGGGGAGUACGGUCGCAAGAUUAAAACUCAAAGGAAUUGACGGGGGCCCCGCACAAGCGGUGGAGUAUGUGGUUUAAUUCGAAGCAACGCGAAAAACCUUACCAGCUCUUGACAUGGGGAUUUUGGGAAUCAGAGAUGAUUUCCUCGGUUCGGCCGGGUCCCACACAGGUGCUGCAUGGCUGUCGU
rnacentral:rRNA from 1 species